rfam:Bacillus sp. B-jedd genome assembly, contig: CONTIG000001
AGAGUCCUGAUGUGUACGUUGCAUUACCUGAAUGUUUUGACCGAACAUUUUUUUCUUCGGGAGUCCGAGUUUCUCCUGCCGCGUAAACGCCCUUUUUAGGGACUUACAACGACAGGGAACAGGACACCCACCUGCUUUAUGCGGGCCAAAACGAAGGAAAUCGGCGACGGCACGAAUUGGGACUCUU